rnacentral:lncRNA from 1 species
CUGAUUUUAAAUUUUAAAUACAAAUAUGAUUAAAUAUCAUUAUAAAAAUAUUAAAUAAGAUCAUAAAAUACCUCAAAAAUCAAGAAAACAAAGAAUUUUCUUACCUGGAGUCAAGUACAGAUAACAGAGCUGCUUGCCUGCUUCCGUGCUUCGACGACAACACCAACGAGUAGCGGCCAGCUGUAGCUCCAGCCUCCAACUAUGAUACUUUUGAAGGUUUUGG